ACUGAAACCCGCGAACACUAGAUAGAACCCGCAAGACCCACAAGACCAGCGACAACCCUAGCGCGGUGGCAGUUCGCCCGGCCGCCGGCGCCGCAAUCCCGGCCGCCAGAACUCGCCCGCUGCUCCGGCGCCCGACGCCCCACACGGCCUGAGCAACCCGUGGCCGUUCCUGUGGCCGCGCCCGCCGGGCACCGGGCAGUGGCCGUCGCUGCCGCUGUUCCCGUCCCACCCGCCUCCCGUCCCCGCGUGGCCGUGGCCGCACAACUCGGGGUGCAACCCGUGGCCACCGCUGCCUCCGUUCCCGUUCCACCCGCCGUCGUUCCCGGCGUGGCCGCUCCCCCGCCCGCCGGUGCCGCAUCUCCAACCCGCACGGACCCAGAGUGGAGCAUCGUCCUGCUGCACUUCAACCCCAUCGGCGCGCACCACAGGUCGCAUCUCCGAUGCGCCGCUGACUUGUGGCCGUCCACAUACGCCGCCUCUCCGCCCUACGCCGCCACUGCUCCAGCGGCACUAGAUGGAAGCGGCAGACGGAGCCGACCUAUUCGGCUGGCAUUCCUCCAUGGUGGGGCUGGAGGACGGGAAGGAUGGGGAGGAGGAGGGCUCUGAUGAGGAGGAGGACCGGCGGCCGAUCGGGAGCACGGAAGUCAGCCUUUAAUUCAUGAUGGCAUGAAAGAGUGGAGCUGCUGCAAGCAAUGAAGCCAUGAUUUUAGCUUAUUUUUGGCGAUAUCAGGAUUCGACUACUCUCGCCGACAGUACGUACGAGCUGGUGCCGGAGUCCGAGAGUGAGCAGCGUGAAGCCCAAGCUAAUCUAACCGAAGCCGCCGAAGACCCGAACUAAAGUUCGGAAGAGCCCAAGGCUAACUUUGCUUAGCAAGGCAAGCCCCGGAGCAUUUCCUAUCUAUUGUAGAUUUAUGCAACUGCUUAUAUUUCUAUAUACAUGUGCAUUUAUGUUUA